UACUGGCUUUUUUUAAGGGUAAAUACCUUGAAGAAUAAGUGGUGGGUAAGACUGGUGCCACCCGCCGCGGUAACACCAGCGCCACGGGUGGGAACCACGUUUAUUUGGCCUAAAGCGUCCGUAGCCGGAUUGGCAAAUUUUUUGUGAAAUUGUUGAGCUCAACUUAACAGCGUGCAAGAAACACUACCAAUCUUGGAACUGGGAGGAGUCAGAAGUAUUUUUUGGGGAGCGGUAAAAUGCUAUAAUCCUUAAAAGACUACCUGUGGCGAAGGCGUCUGACUAGAACAGGUUCGACGGUGAGGGACGAAAGCUGGGGGCGCGAUCCGGAUUAGAUAUUGAGAUUCUCGAAGUAAUAUGAAUUAUACAAAAAUUAUUGUAGAUCGAAACUAACUACUAGCAAUAAUGGAAAAUAAUUUUUUAUGAGAUUUCUUGACUAAUGACCCGAGUAGUCCCAGCUGUAAACUCUGUGAGCUAGGUGUUGCAUAUUCUCCGUGAAUAUGCAGUAUCGUAACGAAGGUGUUAAGCUCACCGCCUGGGGAGUAUGGUCGCAAG
rnacentral:rRNA from 1 species